CUGGAAAUGGCUACUAACGGAGCAGCUGACAGACACGAGAUCCCAGAGCAAAGUGGCUCUGGGAUGGUUUGGGAGGUGCCAGAGCUCUCUGGGAAGGGUCUCUUGCCUUUACUGAAAUCCUUGAGCUUUUUCUUCUCAAAUGGACUCAUCUCCCCCAGGACCCACGCAGAGUACAGAAAGCCCAGAUGUGCUUUUCCAGUACCCAUAUUGUCAAGUACAAAUGCUCAUGCACGGCAUGGUCCUUCACGCUCCCUGGUGUGCUCUGCAUGGAGCCUGCAGGCAAAACUUCAGAGAUGUGUGGGACCAGGGAGUAACAUGCAAUUUCUUUUCUUUUCUUUCUGUUUUACCAAGUUGGGAUAUUUUCCUCCUCACAAUUUGAAUUGAAAAAGUUAAGUUCAAUUUUUUUCCUCUCCCUGACCCCGCCUCCUUUUAAACUAUGGUUUGACUGUUAUCAUUUCAAAUACCAAGAUACACUUGGAACAAGGAAACAGACCCAUCCUGAGAACCUCACUGUUCUUAGGACCUAACCCAGAGUGAGAGCAGGUGCGAGCCAUGGAGGAUAUUAGCACUCAGAGGUGAAGCCAUGAUACCAAUUCUAAACUGGCUCCGAGAACCGUCUUGCAAAAAGAGAACUAUAGAAGUCCAAGUUCCCAUGGAUCAGUCAACCUGGUCCUGAGCUAGGUCUGUCCUGGUAUAGAUAUUCUCACCAAAAAUUACAAAAAGAAAGAAAAGCC
rnacentral:lncRNA from 1 species